rnacentral:rRNA from 1 species
UAAGGAAUAUUGGACAAUGGAGGCAACUCUGAUCCAGCCAUGCCGCGUGAAGGAAUAAGGCCCUAUGGGUUGUAAACUUCUUUUAGACGGGACAAAACCCCUUUACGUGUAAAGGGUUGAUGGUACUGUCAGAAUAAGCAUCGGCUAACUUCGUGCCAGCAGCCGCGGUAAUACGAAGGAUGCAAGCGUUAUCCGGAAUUAUUGGGUUUAAAGGGUGCGUAGGCGGACUAAUAAGUCAGUGGUGAAAGCCUGCAGCUUAACUGCAGAAUUGCCAUUGAUACUGUUAGUCUUGAGUACAGUUGAGGUAGGGGGAAUGUGUCAUGUAGCGGUGAAAUGCUUAGAUAUGACACAGAACACCGAUUGCGAAGGCAGCUUGCUAAGCUGUAACUGACGCUGAGGCACGAAAGCGUGGGGAGCAAACA